rnacentral:rRNA from 1 species
GACGAACGCUGGCGGCGUGCUUAACACAUGCAAGUCGAACGGAAAGGCCAGUGCUUGCACUGGUGCUCGAGUGGCGAACGGGUGAGUAACACGUGGGUGAUCUGCCUUGCACUCUGGGAUAAGCUUGGGAAACUGGGUCUAAUACCGGAUAGGAACCGUCUUUAGUGUGGUGGUUGGAAAGUUUUUUCGGUGCAAGAUGAGCUCGCGGCCUAUCAGCUUGUUGGUGGGGUAAUGGCCUACCAAGGCGUCGACGGGUAGCCGGCCUGAGAGGGUGUACGGCCACAUUGGGACUGAGAGACGGCCCAGACUCCUACGGGAGGCAGCAGUGGGGAAUAUUGCACAAUGGGCGGAAGCCUGAUGCAGCGACGCCGCGUGGGGGAUGACGGCCUUCGGGUUGUAAACUCCUUUCGACAGGGACGAAGCGUUAUGUGACGGUACCUGUAUAAGAAGCACCGGCUAACUACGUG